CAGAGUUGCAAACUCCCUAAACCAUUGUGAACCGUACCUACACAUACCGUUGCUUCGGCGGCGCCAGCUCCCCCGGUCCCACCGCGGGCGCCCGCCGGAGGGUAUACCAAACUCUUAUAUUAAGUGCCUCUCUGAGUAUUCUUACUUAAUAAGUCA
rnacentral:misc_RNA from 1 species